GUAGGGUGCGAGCGUUGUCCGGAAUUAUUGGGCGUAAAGAGCUCGUAGGCGGUCUGUCGCGUCGGUCGUGAAAACUUGGGGCUUAACCCUGAGCUUGCGGUCGAUACGGGCAUGACUGGAGCUCGGCAGGGGAGACUGGAAUUCCUGGUGUAGCGGUGAAAUGCGCAGAUAUCAGGAGGAACACCGGUGGCGAAGGCGGGUCUCUGGGCCGAUACUGACGCUGAGGAGCGAAAGCGUGGGGAGCGAACAGGAUUAGAUACCCUGGUAGUCCACGCCGUAAACGGUGGGCGCUAGGUGUGGGGGCCCAUUCCACGGUCUCUGUGCCGCAGCUAACGCAUUAAGCGCCCCCGCCUGGGAGUACGGCCGCAAGGCUA
rnacentral:rRNA from 1 species